CAUCUGGCGUUGCUGUGGCUGUGGCAUAGGCUGUGGCAUAGGUUCCCCUAGCCUGGGAACCUCCAUAUGUGGCAGGUGCGGCCCUAAAAAGCCAAAAACAAAACAAAACAAAACAAAAAACGCUAUGCUAUAAAACUUGACUAACCACAUUUUUUAUAAUCAAUAUUUCAUAGUGCUACUGCAAAUUAAUAUUUUCAAAAUGCAUUAUAGAAUGGUUACACAUUUUACAUUUUUAUUAUUCUUUUGCUAAUAAGUCUAGGUAAAAAUAUCUUAUUUACGUAAGAAAAAAAAGCUCAAUCAUAUUCCUAUGAAAGUCAUCUACUGGAAAAACACCUAAAAAUUUAAAUACUAAGUUGUCAACAUUUAUGUUCCUAUUCUGGCAUAUCCCAUGAAAUAAUCCUCAUCUACAUUUUAGCCAGCCUAAGAAGGGGUUAUGUUAUAUACUAAAUACAAAAACAUUACAAACUAUGCAAAACAUAUAGACACAAAGAUGAUAAAGGAAUUUUUGGCUGUUAACUUUGUCAAAGCUUUGACAACAUGCACACUUAUCAAUACUACUCAUGUGCAGAUAUGCCAGGAACCCCUCCCAGGCUGGCACUAAGUGUUCCACUGAUGAAAUGCUUCCCUUUACAGAUGCAUCUGACUUCCUAAAACGGCCGCACUGAUUGACAUUAAAAGGAGGUGUGGCCAGUGGACUGCUUCUUGGAUAAUCUCUAAGAAUACUGUUCAGCACCAAAAUGAAGAGCUAUCAAGGCAUGAAAAGACAAGGAGGGACCAUGAAUGCACAUUCCUAGGUGAAAGAAACCAAUCUGAAAGGGUGUUAUGAUUCGACCCUCCGAAAGGCAGCAUCAUGAGACAGAGUUCCGUGGUUGCCAAGAAUCAGCAGGGAUGGAGGGAGGAAGGUACAGAGCACAAAGGUACAGAGUAUUCUGCGUGAUCACCAGCUCUGGCCGAGGUCACCACACACUUGACCAAAGCAAACAGAGGGAAGAACAGAGAACACCACCAAGAGUGAACCCAGAUGUAACUAUGGAUGUGGGGUGGCAACAGUGUGUCCACCCACCCUGCCACUGUGGUGAGGGUAUUGGCGUGUGGGAACUGUGCCAGGGGAGAGGGGAACUGGGGGGCGGGGAUCACUGAGACAGAAACUGUAUCUUUCAUUCAAUUUUGCUGUGAACCUGUAACAGCUCUGAAAAACAAAAUUCACUAAUUUUAAAAAACUGAUCCUCUUUUACUUUGGUUUAUUACUUUCUAUUCUUUCAUUCAUUGCUAUUGUUCUUAUCCAACGAAUACUGAAGUAAGUACAUAAAAGCUCUCUGCGAAUUACUAUAUAAUUUGUAGUAAAAUUAAAGAUGGUACAAGGGUUUAAAGACUCUAAGCCAUUAAAUGCAGCAAGCUAUUUCACACUCAUCUGAAAUCUCAAACGAAAAAGCAGGGGACGCCCAAGGAGCUCACAGUUACUUUGGGAACACACCAUUUCUGACACUACAGAAUGCUCUCGGGGCUGACAGGACAAUCUCCACUCACUGUGAUAGGAAACUGACAAAAACCACUGUUUCUUAAAAGCUUAUUCUGUGUAGGUUUGGCAACCACAGGCUCCUCAUAACAGACAGAUAGGUGCAGGGAUUGUCUGAUGCUAAAACCCACAAAAAGCAAAAAACAAACAAACCAACCAAAACACCCAAGUAUGACCUAUCAUAGAAAAUGAAAAACAAAACAAAAACAGCCUAAGACUUUAGUGGCUAGGUUAGGAAUAUUUUUUAAAUCCAAUUAGUACUAAAACACGAUGUUCCCCCACCCCCUGACCCCAGGCAGCUAGCUUUCUGCUUGGAACACAGCCUUCUAAUGGAAAUACCCAUAUGACCUGCAUCUCCUUAAAGAAGGUCAUCCUGAUAUAGGCUGUAGCCCUCUUAUUUCUCCAAUCCAGCAUUUGUCAAUACCAACUAUUUCUUUCCUUUUCUGCUGUUUUCAAAAUGAAAAACCCCUGCUCAAAUCCUACUAUGGUUAUUCCAUAAAAACUAACAACAACAACAAAAAAAGACAAAAAAGAAAUCAUUCUUUCAGAUACACCUGCAAAUCCUAUCACUCAGUGCUCCGAUGUCAUAUUAACAGCUUAUUAUUCUUGAGGGUGAAUAUUUCGAAUAAAAGCUUCUUAAAAUCAA